CAUUAGGCAACAUUUAAUUUUAAUUUUAAUAUUUAAGUAGCUCUAAGUGUACAUAACACUAUCGAAACGAACAGCAAAGUAAAAGGAAAGGAAACGCUUUGCAAACGUCAAGCAGAAACAAAGAAGUCUAGCGUAGACAAAACGAAACACGAAGAGUUACAAGAGUUGUUGAAAGCAAAAUAAAAAAAAAGUACUACACACAUAAAAAUUGUGCUACUUCGAAUAAUUGAAACGAAAAACGAACCUCAACGUAAACCGUGGAAAGUGAAUCAUCUGAACAAAAUCAGUGAAUCAUAACGAAGCAAAAUAUUCACACACCAAAACCGAGAAUCGCACUACAAAAAUCUUCCGCAUUACGCGAAGGAAUCAAACGACACGAGUGUUAAUUAAUUUAUUUUCGAUAUUACGCGCAACGAAAAAAUAAAACAAGUGGCAGAGGAGGUCUGGCAAAUAAUUUUACGAUUACGAUUUUGAGUGUAUGUGUUGUUAUCUACUAUCCUUAUUUUACUGCGAAAUUCGAAGGCUCUAACGAGAGUUAUACUACAAUAGUGAACAAAUCGACUGGUUGCGUGUGUUGGUGCGUCAGUUGAUUUUUUUAUAAGUUAAGUAGUUUUGUUCAAGUUUAACUCUGUGACUAGAAAAAAAAGGUGCGAUUACUCGUCGGAUAUUCUUACGCGUGUGGAAUUGUGAUAAUACACGCAAAUCGGCCAAGAGUGGGCAGCACAAGUGUGGCAGAAGAGCAGAAGACGAAGAAAAAAAAAGAAUCAUAGAACCAAAACGGCGAAUCGCGACCGUGCGUGCGUGCGUGAAGUGACCGAAGCAGAAACGCGAACGUGCCCGUGAGGUGGCACGCGGCCAGAAGGGGUGUUGUAAAAAUAAUUGAAGUCCGUACCACCGGGCCCCUACAUUGCGAGGACGUGCGAACGCAUUGGAUCUGUUGGUGACCGAUUGUGAAGUGUAAAUAGUUUACUUCCAGCCACACCCAACAGGACCGGGACCGGGGCGUAAAACUAGGAUCGAUUUAUUCCCUGGCACGACAACGUCCAACACCCCUCAGCACGACACGUUGAACCAACCAAAAUACACCAGACAACAAUACGACAAGUCACCGUCAUCCUGUUUGGUCUUACGGCGCGUAAUCAAAGUGACGAAGCCCCCUCAGUGCAUAUGAACAGUGCACGACACAUUGAAACUAAAGUUGAAUUAAAGUGACAACAGUGCGUGUCCCAAAACUCGCCUGCAGUGUGCGGAAGUUAGUGUUAAAAUUAAAAUUUAAAUGUACUGCCUACGUGGAGAGCAUCAGCAUACGCAUCAGCAAGAGCCACAGCAGCGACGCCGGGACGUUUAAGAGAUUAGUAAUUUACAGUGAAGACCACAUCAAAUCAAGCACGUAAUAAUGGCGAAUAAAGAUCAGCAAUUUAACGGCUCAACCGGUUCGGUGAAGACGAUCCUCAAUAGUGCAACCCCAACAGAACAACAUUUGAGUAGUGAAGACAAUGCAAGAUCCUACAGAGAUGUGGUGAAGAAUGCAUCCUUAAAGUGUGACGUAGAGCACACGGAACGGGGUGGUAAUCCGAAGGAAACAAACGUGAGACAAAAACGUAAGAAGACGUCAGAAAAGCAAGACGCUAAUGUUUUUGUGGAUGGAAAACCAUCGCUAGACCAUCGAGCAAUGGGAAAGGAAUCGACUGUAUCCACCCAACCAGCACCAUCUUCGGAAGCCUUGGGUAAUCUUGCCAAAGCGAACGGGAAACGUUUGAAGUUGGAUCUCAAGACCAAUCAGGAACAUCAGACAAGUGAUCCAACGUCACCGAUAGGGCUAUUGCAUGAGGAGAAAGUGAUCGUACGAUGCAAACCACCGAUUCCACCGAAACCGGACGUCCGGACGAUACAGGCAUCGUCCCAGGGGCAACAAAAGGCCACCGUUUCGCCCGCAACGCCACCCACAAAGGGCAAGAAGCAGCAGGUGACCGAAGCCCACAAUGCACACACCGUCCAGAAGCUGCUGGCCCAGAAUGAACAGAUGCGGCUAGAACUGAGCGAACUCCGAAGUAGCUUGGCUGCGGAGCGGAAUGCCGUCAGGGUGUUACGGGCCCAAAAUGAGUCCGAUCUGCGAAAGACGAAAUCCGAAUGUAAGAAACUGCAGGAAGCUCUGCAGCAUCAGAAACGCCACACCCAGGGCCAAUGUCCGAGUGUGUCCGUGGGAGGUGGUACGCCGGCCAAGCGGGCACACCGGGGUUCUGCGGAACACCAAGAACCCCAAGGCGGUUGGGCUUCGGAGACACGCGGUCCGCACCAUCAGCAGCAGUGUUGUUUGGAAGUUCUGAAGCUGAAUCAGGAGAUUUCUGCCCUGCGGGAAACAAACAAGUUCUUAGAGGAAAAAUAUCAAAUUUCCUCCGAGGCUGAACGGCAGAAAGCUUCCGAUAUUCGCGUACAGCGGGAUCUGCACGAACUACGAUUGACUCAACUUUCCAAGUCAGCUAGAAACGAAAUCCAGCGUAUGCUGGAGGAGCUGAAAUCGAAGGAUCGCAGCAUAGCGCAGCUCAAGAAGGAGCUCCAGGUUGCGCUAGCUGCCCAGGCAGGAGCCGGUGGUGGAUGUCGCAAGGAGAGAAAGGCUGCUAAAAAUUCCGCUCAGCAAUCGCACGAGAUGCGAAAAUUGCGUGAGACCGAGCCAUGUAGCGGAACUAUCAGCAAAAGCAACAGCAAUAACAGCAUCCAAUCCGUCACCGACGAUUACGAACAGCUGGAAACGAAAGAAUCUCUGGAGCUGACUAUUGUCACCGCGACAACCACGACGACCGCAGUCCCGGCAGCGGAAGAAGCAUCGACAAACGACUGCAGCUGCCGUACGACACGGAACAUAAGUGAAACGCAGGAGAAUAAUAUAGACGUAGCGAUAGAAACAACGACGUGCGGCAACGAUGAGGCUGAACGGCCAACGCUGCCGCACGAAUUAUGUAAACGAACCAAGGAAGCUCACAGCAACGACAGCAGUAGUGUCUGCAGCGUAGUACUAGAAUCGAAGGUCAGUUCGCCUUACUUUGCACCGAGCGCAACGGACACCGAAUCCGCACAACAAACGAUCGUUUCCAUCGAGUGCCAACAAGCGUCCCUUAGCUCUGAUCCGGAUUCGGCCCUGUCCUCGAUGAGUCCGCAACCGAACAGCUUCACCGGUGAUGCGCCGCAGGACGAUCCUUGGAAUGUGCAGCAAUCGCCGAUCGUCCGGGAGGAGGGCAAAUUGACCAGAAUUAAGGUGGAGCUGGAUGAGAUGCAGCAGCGGUACGAGACCCUCAACCGGGACUACACGCUUGCUAAGGAACAGAUCGACCAGUUGGAGCAGGAGCUGGUUAAGGCAACACAAGCUUCCCGCGAAAAAAUCAAACUAAAUGAACGCAUCGCAUACCUCGUAAAGCGCGAGGAAGACCUGCUAAAGGAAAGUCACGAGCUGCGCGAGCAAAACGAACUGCUCGAAUUUCGCAUUAUCGAGCUCGAGGAGAGCCAUGACAAGUGGUCGCUUCGAAACAACUCAAGUCCCACGGUGGGCGGUGGAACAACAAAGGAUGGUUGGACGGACACUGAAAAGGAGCACGACGAGCUGAUAAUGCUCUCAGAGCGAUCCGAUUCCGGCGUUACCUCACCCAACAGUCAUCACCAUUUGGAGGAUCAGCAGAGCGGUGUGCCGUCACCGUGCGAUUUAUCGCUCCUGGAUCAGAUACCCACAGACGAUGUGCGCAAACGGCUCAUCGCUAUGACCAAGCGCUCGUGCUACGACGAAGAGGAUAAGCUGUGUUUCCUGCAGAUCCUCUCACUGCUAAACAACCUCGAAGCACUGUCACAGGAUCAUGAGAUCGCCGGCGAUGACAUGAGUCUUGAACCGCCCGUCCAAAAGUACAACUACAGCCUGCCGGACAGCAGCACACCGCCAAAGGCGCUGCUGCAGUCGGCAGCGGCCGCGGUAAUGAGUAGUUCCACUCCGUAUAAGGCCGGCACCGGAAGAAUAGUCGCUACUGUGCAACCGUUCCACAGCUCCGACCAGCAUGUGCCCCCCACCCCAACAUGUCAACCAAAAGCGCCAUCAAUUGCAUCGAUCGCCGAAACGUUCGGUGGUAUGAAGAAAUCGACACGGUGGAAUAACGCGACCAGCUUGCAGGAGAGCGGCGUAUUCGUCGACGAACCGUGCACUCACGUUGCCACUCAGACGGAAACGGAAGACUUCCCGGCGCUGGAAAAGACGAACGCCGAACUGUGCGCCGAGAUCGAAAAGUUGAAUCGAUUCCGGGAGAAGAUCGAAGAGUGUAAAGGGGUAGCGGCUGCUGUCUGUAAGACACCGAGCAAGGGCUCGAUGGUGGCGUUAAACCUGCCGGCCCCGAGUGGAGAUGAAGCAUGUGAUAGACGCCGGCUGCAGUUCUACGUCGAGCGAGCGGAGAUGCUUGAGAACAAGCUGAAGGUGUAUGAGAGCAGCGGCGAUCAACAGCAACGGCAUCUGUCCGAGCGAUUGCAACGUGAGGUACAGCUGGAAUCGUGGGUGAAACAACUGUCGGAAAAGCUCGGCCGGGUGGAGCUGGAAAAUGAGCGACUCGAGGAGGAACGUUGCGAGCUCGAGGAGAUCGAGAAUGACACCCGCCUGCGGUUGCAGCGACUGGAGGAAGAUCUGGAAGUGAUGGGCCAGCGAAAUGAAGAGCUGGAAAUGUCCAGAAGCUCCUACCAGUCAAAGUUCCAGGACGCGAAAGAAAACAUGACCAACCUGGAGGAAUUGAUUCACAAAUACGAGGAGAAGAUCUUCCUGCUCGAAGAGAACGAAAACGAGCUGCGGGAGAAGAUCGAGCUAAUCUACAUGUUCAUACCGAUGCUGCUACUCUAUAACAGCUGGCAGCUUCAAGAGCAGUUUAAACAGUAUCACGCAGCUUUGAUGGCACACCAUCCGCUUCAUCAGCAGAGACAGCAACGGUCCAUGUUGGCCUUUGGUGAACCCCAUGCCAUCCAGUGCAUUCCUACGGAGCACAUCGACUACUACGAUAGCAGCUGCUCGCAAGCGGAAGAUUUGCAGGGACGAUUGAGCGAGCUAAUGAGCCGCGAAAAGGAACUGACGCAGAACAUCGCGGAGCUGAACCGAGCGUACAAUGAGACGCUGGAAAAUGCGGACAACCUGUGGGCACAGAUGGAGCGCGAGUACAAGGAAAAGAUCAAUCGCUGCGAGCAGGAGGAAGCGACGCUCAAGUCCAAGAUAGCACAGCUCGAGGAACGUCUGAGCAAGGACAGUGAGUAUGCGAGCGAACGAAUCGCCCAUCUAGAAGAGGCAGAAAACAGCCUCAAGAGUCGCGUCAGUCGGCUAGGCAAGGAAAAUAAGGAACUGUCCGCUAAGCAUGGUGCCUUGCUGGAGGAGUAUGGCACGCUGAAGGAUGACUAUGCAAAGCUACAGAACUACCUGCGCGGUCCGGCGGCCGAAGCGUUGGAGCGAGAAAAGAAACGAGUGCUGGGGUUGGAAGAUGAGCUGGCGCACACCGAACAGAUGCUACGCGACGGUGAAGAAUCACACCGCACGGAGGUAGGUGCACUACGGGGUCGUUUACUAACCUCGACCAAGGAGCUGAACCACAUCGAGGUGACGAAUAGUGAGUUGCGCGAAGAGGUCGAAACGCUCGAAGCGCGCAUUCGUGAGCUGAUGUCCCAGCGUGGCAGUGAUGAGGAACGCAUCAAACAGCUCACGGAAGAGCUGGAAGCGAAACAGUCGCAGAUUGUUGCACUACAGCACGCGCGGAAAACUGGUGGCACCGGCACCGGUAGUAACCGGUCGUCAGUUGGACGCAGUUUAGCACAGGAGCUCGAACGUCCGCUCAAGGGGACCUACACACGCCACGGGUACGAGGUACAUCCACUGGGUCGCAAAUUUACCGACAGCGAUAGCAGUGGAGGAGAGGAUCGAAGCAAAUUCCCGCACACGAGACCGUCGGCAUUUGAAACCAAAGAAGUGAAGAGCCUUGCCGAGACGAUCAUUCUGAAUGCCGAAAGCAGGGGAGUGAAGACGCCAAAGAAAUCCUUCGUUGAGGAGGCGCGCAGCCGAUUCGCUCGUUGGGUGUGAGAUGCCGAAUCCUGGAUACGGGUGGACAGGAUGUCCACGAACUCCUGCCAAAUUUUGCUGGAAUAAGUACAAUACCCAUACCCAUGCCUGAGCGGGUCAUCUCUUCGAUGUCUCCCCAUAACGAUCUCGAACAAGGACUGUUACACUCCCCGAUACAACCCCUCGCAACACCGUCACCAUCCCAGCACACUGAUACACGUCCUUUGAACACACAGCAACCGACUCAACUGUUUGGGUCAGAAAGUUCUUCAUCAUCAACCCCCAUUGGUAUACGUGGCUGUGAAGUUGAGUGUUCCUUUCACACCACAAAAACCCCGUCUCGCACCGCAUCCUAAGCAUCCUCAGGUCCUUGUUGCGUAUCCUUCCCGCUUUGUCCCGGACCUGCCAUUAGGCCAGAAAGCUUCCAACGUGAUGAACUGAUGCUACCAACAGACCAGAAAAGCAUUCCCACUACAGAAGUGGGAUUUCCAGACUGGACACUAUCGCCAGCAUCUUCUUCUGCACUGGACAAUCGGUCGCCUUCUCCAGCAUUCGAAGGGCGUUCCAUCACCUCGGUUCUGACUUCAAGCCUCUCUCCAACACUUCCGGGUCGGCCAUUUUUAACCACCUCCUAGUGCAAAGGUGGUCUCGAACAUGUGUCACCUAAGGUUAGCAGCGUCGGGAAGGCCAUGAAAUGAAGAGAAGAAAAAUCUAGUCGUUGUUUUUGUUGAAUGUGUUUAUUUUUGAGGUACUAUAAAAAUAGUGUUAAAGUUAUACUACGCUGAUGCAGAAGAACAGGUUGCGGCCCCGUAAAACAUUGGGCGCAAGGUUAGAUGUCACGUUAAACUGUGGUGCGUUACAGGCACUGCUGCUGUUGUGUAAGUUCUGGCGUUUGUCCAUGGCAGUGGAUCGAAGAAAGCAUGCGCACACCAUCCCACUACCAUUUGCUGCAGACCCAGGGCUCUGUAAUAUAGACUGAGCAGCAUCAUGAUGGUAGAACCGUAUAGAACAUUUAGGUUUUUUUUGGUUUGCAAUAAUUCAAUUAGUUUGAGCGUUCGAGUUUGUUGCGUUUAUUGGUUAAAUCAUUAUUUCUCAUCCUAGCGAAUAGUUACGUUAAGCUUUCUUUGCCUUUCAUACUAGCCAACCGUGGAGGUUUUAUGUUUACAGUUAGUGAAUACCGCUUCUGUUCUGUAUAAUUUGUCUCAAUGUGUUCUCAGUCGCGUAAAUGUUGUAUUGAUAGCCCUGACAGUAAUGUGGGCACGAGUUUGCCUUUAUGUGUUGUUUUUUAUUAUUUUUAUCGUUUAUGUACGGUAUGCUUGCAUUAGUUUGAGUUUGUAAUAUAUUUUUAUGAUAUGAAUUAGUUUGAUUGACCACUAACGUCCCUCUUAGGUAAAGGACGAAUCCAAUGGCUAGUAUUCUCUGUGCUAUUCUGUAUGACUAUAGCGAUUGAAACAAAUAAAGCAUUAUUUAAAACGAACAGCCAUGCAAGCGAACAAUGAUCCUCCCGCCCCGAUCGGAAUCAGGUUAUGGUGCUUUUUGUGGAUCGAUUCUGUAUCUUCAACAUCGACGGAAUCCCCAACAGCGGAUCUACUAGCUUCGAGAAUGAUAAACAAUCCGUUCCAGGGUAAUCUGCGUUCCACCGGGGCGUAGUGCAAACUUGUGAGCUUCCAGGGUAUUAUUUAAACGGUGUUACUACAGACUUAUUAUGCAUGUCCUACAUUAAUCAAUUGUUCAGGUUUUGUAAAAAGGGAACAUGUAAAAAGGCGAUUGAAAAGGAAUGUAAGAUUGAUGAAAAUGCGCGCGAGAGCGAUAAAGAGAGAGUGAGAAGCGGAAACAAAGAAAACAAUAAACAAGUAAAUACCUUAGAUAU